GAAGAAAUUCAACAAUCGCAACAACAUUCACAGAAAGAAACCGAAAAAUAUAUUUCGAAUUAGAGAGAUAAAGAGAAUGAUGAUUCAGAGAAGAAUCAUGUUCGUUGAACAUAACAAGGCAUAGUCUGAAGAAACGUGAACCAAAUUAGGAAGCAAGGAUGCGGAACUGAUGCUAUUUGAAGAAAAACACUAAAUAUAGGUUAAAUCGAAGAUAAGCAAGGAAGUUUGCAAAUGAAUAGUACAUGUUAUAUGUUCAUUUAUGAAAGUGUAUAUGUUCAUUAAUGAAUGUGUAUAUGAUCAUAUCUUAAACUUCCUCCAUUUCUUUUUACUUGCAACACAGCCUUGUGGCACGUGUUUUGAGGUCGGGUUUAUAUAAUGUAAACGGAUAAAUUAUUCAUUAUAAUUUUUACAAAUGAUACUUAACCCUAUUCUAA